rnacentral:rRNA from 1 species
GAGGAAUAUUGGUCAAUGGAGGCAACUCUGAACCAGCCAUGCCGCGUGCAGGGAGACGGUCCUAUGGAUUGUAAACUGCUUUUAUACGGGAAGAAACACCGGUUCGUGAACCGGCUUGACGGUACCGUAAGAAUAAGGAUCGGCUAACUCCGUGCCAGCAGCCGCGGUAAUACGGAGGAUCCAAGCGUUAUCCGGAAUCAUUGGGUUUAAAGGGUCCGUAGGCGGUUUAAUAAGUCAGUGGUGAAAGCCCAUCGCUCAACGAUGGAACGGCCAUUGAUACUGUUAAACUUGAAUUACUAUGAAGUAACUAGAAUAUGUAGUGUAGCGGUGAAAUGCUUAGAUAUUACAAGGAAUACCAAUUGCGAAGGCAGGUUACUAAUAGUAGAUUGACGCUGAUGGACGAAAGCGUGGGGAGCGAAC